rnacentral:rRNA from 1 species
GAUGAACGCUGACAGAAUGCUUAACACAUGCAAGUCCACUUGAACUUCGGUUUGGGUGGCGGACGGGUGAGUAACGCGUAACGAACUUGCCUCACAGUUAGGGACAACAUUUGGAAACGAAUGCUAAUACCUGAUAUUAUGAUUUUAGGGCAUCCUAGAAUUAUGAAAGCUAUAUGCGCUGUGAGAGAGCUUUGCGUCCCAUUAGCUAGUUGGAGAGGUAACGGCUCACCAAGGCGAUGAUGGGUAGCCGGCCUGAGAGGGUGAACGGCCACAAGGGGACUGAGACACGGCCCUUACUCCUACGGGAGGCAGCAGUGGGGAAUAUUGGACAAUGGACCAAGAGUCUGAUCCAGCAAUUCUGUGCGCACGAUGAAGUUUUUCGGAAUGUAAAGUGCUUUCAGUUGGGAAGAAAAAAAUGACGAUACCAACAGAAGAAGUGACGGCUAAAUACGUG